rnacentral:sRNA from 1 species
UCCUUUUCCUCUACUGUAUCUUCUCCCUGAACUCCUCAGAAGAUACUUUGUUAUCACCACAUAAAUAGAAAGAUCGGUCUUUCUAAGGAAAUGGAAAGAUCAAUCUUACCAAGGAAAAAUGUUUUCAGUGGCACGUUGGAGCCAGCCUCCUACUGACUCAUGAGUGUCAUCUUAAAUUUGCAGGAAUUUUAUAAAAAUUCCAGUUGAUGUUACAUUGUUAUUUUGAAAUCAGCCACAGUGGGUGUAUCACACCACGUAAUUCAGCGAACUGUACAAAUCAUGGAUCUUUUCUACCCUCACCAUAAUCAGUUGUUUAUUUACCAGCACAUGGCUGGAUAUUUUCUUCAUGUAUAUGUUCAUGUAUGUCACCAUAUGUAUAUAUAUUUGAAUAUAUUUUCUUCAUAUAUGUAUUCAUAUACAUGCAUCAUUUCCAAAAUGAGACAUUCUCUUGAACUGGAUAUAUGUGAUUAGCAUCCAUAAGAAAGAGAUUCUGCAUAUGUGAGAGCAGAGCGGGGGCAGUGCUUUCCACCACUUCCUUAUAGAGCACGUUGGUGGGAAGCUAAGUGGGAGCACCCAGAAGGAAUAGUAACUUCUUACAGAACUUCCUCUCUCUAGCAUUGCCGAAAGGAGGAAAUAAACAUCUCAGUAAUCUGACUAUUCUUUGGUUG